UCCGGCUUAACGCCGGCAGUCCCCCUAGAGUGCCCAACUGAAUGGUGGCAACUAAAGGCAAGGGUUGCGCUCGUUGCGGGACUUAACCCAACACCUCACGGCACGAGCUGACGACAGCCAUGCAGCACCUGAACCGGCAGUCCCCGAAAGGAAGAUCCUAUUCCUAGGACGGUCCGCCGUUGUCUAGCCCAGGUAAGGUUCUUCGCGUUGCAUCGAAUUAAUCCGCAUGCUCCGCCGCUUGUGCGGGCCCCCGUCAAUUCCUUUGAGUUUCAGCCUUGCGGCCGUACUCCCCAGGCGGGGCACUUACUGCGUUAGCGACGGCACUCAGAGGGUCGCUCCCCCAAGCACCUAGUGCCCAUCGUUUACGGCGUGGACUAC
rnacentral:misc_RNA from 1 species